GCAUGAUUUUGAAAAAGGAAUGAUUAUUAGCAAAUUAUUGGGGGGGCUGCAGCCCCCCCAGCCCCCCGGUUGCUACGGCCCUGUUAGCACAAGCUAUCAUCCACUGGGCACUGACACAGACUCUAUUUGAAGUUGCAUAUAGAAAUCAAUGUAAAAGUCGCACAAUAGAACGUAUCUGAUGUACACUGUAACUGACGCAAUGUUGGAUGAACCCAACCUCGUACCCAGGAUCUUUCUUUGGGAAAGACCCUGGCUGCGGCUGGUCACGUGUCUCAUCAAAAAUUUAGCGCCUGAGGGUGUGUGGGGAAAGUAUCAAAUUACAUAAACAUGCUUCCAGUGGAACAUUCGUUAAAAACAUAAAUUUUGCGAAUUAUUACGUUCAAAAUACUUGCUAAUUUUUGUUUAUUUUCUUUGCUUUGAAUUUACAAGAACAUUCUUACUUACAGUCAAGUCAAGAAACAAAGCAAAUCGUUACUCGCAGUACGUGCUUUCUCGCGUUGUUAUUCAAUGCAUGCUCUCUUCACAAUCGAGCGCGGUUAUAACAAACCUUUUAAUAUUGUAAUGUUUUUAAAAUACGCCAUUACAUUCGACUGUCCUUUCUUGUAAACGUUGAUACGCUUUGUACCGAUUCACUUGUUACUACGCGUCUUGUUUAUAAGAUUUUUAAAAGUAACAGUAUUGUCUAGGACUGACCCAAUAUUAGGGGAAACGACAAAACGCGGACCCCAGGUCCAUGGACGGGACUAGCUAACAGUCGUGGGUCGUGGGUCGUGGGUAGAAUGUCGUGGGUCGUGGGUAGAAUGUCGUGGGUCGUGGGUAAAAAGUCGUGGGUCGUGGGUAAAAAGUCGUAAGUCGUGGGUAAAAAGGCGUGGGUCGUGGGUAAAAAGGCGUGGGUCGUGGGUAAAAAGGCGUGGGUCGUAGGUAAAAAGGCGUGGGUCGUGGGUAAAAAGGCGUGGGUCGUAGGUAAAAAGGCGUGGGUCGUGGGUAAAAAGGCGUGGGUCGUGGGUAAAAAGGCAUGGGUCGUGGGUAAAAAGGCGUGGGACGUGGGUAAAAAGGCGUGGGUCGUGGGUAAAAAAUCGUGGGUCCCGAAUAAAAAGUCGUGGGUUCCAAGCAAAAUAUUUCCAUAUAUUUACCUUUCUCCCUUUGGAAUGCGUGUUUAUUUUUCUUCUGAGGCUUUCCCAAACUAUGCCCAAAUGUGCAUAGCUUAGAGCGCGUUAAGGCCGGGUUUUUGAUAUCGGCAGAUCCGUUUAUAAAUAUUGUAACCAAGUGUGGAUGAAACAGUUCAACUUCAAGCCCCAUAUAGCUCAAAUAUUUGGACGUUGUAAUCUUAUAGACAGAUAAAUAUUGUAAUUCUUCAAUACGAAAUAGUGCUGUCAAGCCUGUCAUAAAUGGCUAAAUUCUGACAUUCAGGGCUUCACUAAUUUGUUGAUCCAUGUUCUUACAGUAAUAAGCGAGAAAUUUCCACUUGGACAGUGUUAAUUUAAUGCAAUGUCUGUUAAUUUACUAGGGAAAAAUAAAAGAAAGCAUUUGAGAGAUUUCACUUAAAUACAUACCAUGAUGUA